rnacentral:piRNA from 1 species
UAGGAGUUUAUCAGGCUCAACAGUCCAUG